rnacentral:tRNA from 1 species
UCUCAGGUGGCCUAGUGGUAAAGAAUCUGCCUGCAAUGCAGGAGACCCGGGUUCAAUCCCUGGGUCGGGAA